GGUGGUUCAGUGGUAGAGUGCUUGUCUUGCAUGCAUGAGGCCCUGGGUUCAAUUCCCCAGAACCA
rnacentral:tRNA from 1 species